rnacentral:rRNA from 1 species
GCCGUCAUCCUACGGGAGGCAGCAGUGGGGAAUAUUGCACAAUGGGCGCAAGCCUGAUGCAGCCAUGCCGCGUGUAUGAAGAAGGCCUUCGGGUUGUAAAGUACUUUCAGCAGUGAGGAAGGCGGGUGUGUUAAUAGCAUAUUCGUUUGACGUUAGCUGCAGAAGAAGCACCGGCUAACUCCGUGCCAGCAGCCGCGGUAAUACGGAGGGUGCGAGCGUUAAUCGGAAUUACUGGGCGUAAAGCGCAUGCAGGUGGUUUGUUAAGUCAGAUGUGAAAGCCCGGGGCUCAACCUCGGAAUUGCAUUUGAAACUGGCAGACUAGAGUACUGUAGAGGGGGUAGAAUUUCAGGUGUAGCGGUGAAAUGCGUAGAGAUCUGAAGGAAUACCGGUGGCGAAGGCGGCCCCCUGGACAGAUACUGACACUCAGAUGCGAAAGCGUGGGGAGCAAACAGGAUUAGAUACCCUGGUAG